UAAAAGCUGCAGUGCGGUGACGUCACCGGGGGAGGGGUGGGUGUCAGGCCGGGCGACGUGAGCUUGGACACACCCACACUGGGCGGUCUGGAGGCUACGCUAGUGUGGCAUCAUCUGAGCUGGGGAGCCAUUUCUGCCUUACAGGGUUGGGACCCCGGAGUCUUACUGGCGCGGUUGCGGCUGCGGCUCUCGGUGUUUUGGUCCGAACACCGCGUUCCCGCUUAACAGAAAUUCGUCAGUACGCGAUUCAUGCUCAUAGUGUGGCGUCGAGACUUGCGGCGAGGGGAAAAAAACGCAAUAACCUGGUUCCUCAGCGUUGAUUGCUUCAGCAGGACUUAAAUAUGUGCUGCGUCUUUUGGGGAACGUUACUUAAGAGGCAACCAUCUGGCUCGAAAUCUUCCAUUAUUCUCAGCAAGCAUUUACGAGGUGACUGCACUGUAAGGAGAAUAACCCACAGUAGCAGAGGCUGGGAGUCUGCACAGUGCCGAGGUCAGUUCAGUCUUCCCUACUCGAACGAAGGAAGCCUGGAGUAACUGUUUGCUGUCUCCGCCCUGCGUGUUAGUUGCCCGUUGUUUUUUGGAGAAAAAGCAAGUAUCGAGGAAAUUCAGAAGAAAGCAAGUUAUCUCAAGAAAGUUGGUCAGAAGAAAAUGGGCAGAUCGUGAAAUGUUAGUUGUCUCCCAAAGUCGGUUCUUCCCUUUUACAACGCAAAUACUUUGUUACUUGGGCACAUGAAGUCCCAGCUAGAGACCACAUUACCCGUCUGCCUUACAAUCAAGUGUGGCCAAGUUCUCACCAAUGGAAUAUGAAUGAAAGUUGUAUGUGCACUCUGUGUCACUUGCUUUGAAAAAAUUGGUUGCCCUCUGCUUCUGCUCUUUUGCCUUUCUCCAGCACUAAGUGGCGCCAGUGCAGAUCUACUGCAGUGACCCACAUUUAACCAGGCAAAUUAGGAAAAAUACCAAGCAUCAACGGGAAAGAAACCAGGGAUUACAGAAGGGGCAGGAUUCAAAACAAAACCAAAACCAAAAUAAAACCAAAACAGACAGAAAGCAGAGUGCAUGGAUGAAUUAAUGAAGCUGAUUCACUACAGCCUCUACCACUCCUACUUCUGGACUGUUAGAUGAGAAAUAAGUUUCUGUCUCAAUUAAAUCACUAUAUUUUGAGGCCUCUUUAUUAUUGUAGCAUACUCUGUACUCUAGCCUAAUAGAGGGAAGUUCACAGAAGAAAAUCCUGGAUAACCAGAAUUCAGAAAGAGCAGGAAUCAAAAGAGCUCCAGGUAUCUAAAGGGCACUACCAAGGGAUGAAUCAUCCUCAGUUUCCUUUAAGAAGAGUCUGAUUUUCUAGUUUGAGUUCUGUAUUCUAUAAUCUGUAUUUAUAUGCAUACCUGUUUUUAUUUUUAUUAUUAUAAAAAUUAUAUAUUUUUUGAGAUGGA